rnacentral:rRNA from 1 species
UGGGGAAUUUUGGACAAUGGGGGCAAGCGUGAUCCAGCAAUGCCGCGUGCAGGAAGAAGGCCUUCGGGUUGUAAAAUGCUUUUGUCAGGGAAGAAAUAUUCUGGGGUAAUACCCCGGGAGGAUGACGGUACACGAAGAAUAAGCACCGGGUAAAUACGUGCCAGCAGCCGCGGUAAUAUGUAGGGUGCGAGCGUUAAUCUGAAUUAUUGGGGGUAAAGCGUGCGCAGGGGGCUUUGCAAGACAGAUGUGAAAUCUCCGGGCUCAACCUGGGAACUGCAUUUGUGACUGCAAGGCUAGAGUACGGCAGAGGGGGAUGGAAUUCCGCGUGUAGCAGUGAAAUGCGUAGAUAUGCGGAGAACACCAAGGGA